AUCGAACGCUGGCGGCAGGCCUAAUACAUGCAAGUCGAACGAGUGGCGGACGGGUGAGCAAGUUCUUGGCAACUGCCUGAUGUAGCGGUCUAACUACUGUAAACGUUAGCUAAUACUGCAUACCACCCUUUGUGCCCAGAUGGGAUUAGCUAGUCGGUGGGGUAACGGGUCACCAGGGCGACGAUGCCUAGCUGGUCUGAGAGGAUGACCAGCCACACUGGGACUGAGACACGGUCCAGACUCCUACGGGAGGCAGCAGUAGGGAAUAUUGCGCAAUGGGCGAAAGCCUGAUGCAGCAAUGCCGCGUGAGUGAAGAAGGCCUUCGGGUUGUAAAAUACUUUCAGCAGGGAGGCGUUACCCACACAGAAAGCAACGGCUAACUCCGUGCCAGCAGCCGCGGUAAUAC
rnacentral:rRNA from 1 species